rnacentral:rRNA from 1 species
AUUGAACGCUGGCGGCGUGCUUAACACAUGCAAGUCGAUCGGUAACAGGUGUAGCAAUACAUGCUGACGAGAGGCGGACGGGUGAGUAAUGCUUGGGAAUCUGCCUAUUAGUGGGGGACAACCCGGGGAAACUCGGGCUAAUACCGCAUACGCUCUACGGAGGAAAGCCGGGGACCGCAAGGCCUGGCGCUAAUAGAUGAGCCCAAGUCGGAUUAGCUAGUUGGUAGGGAACGGCCUACCAAGGCGACAAUCCGUAGCUGGUCUGAGAGGACGACCAGCCACACCGGAACUGAGACACGGUCCGGACUCCUACGGGAGGCAGCAGUGGGGAAUAUUGGACAAUGGGGGCAACCCUGAUCCAGCGACGCCGCGUGGGUGAAGAAGGCCUGCGGGUUGUAAAGCCCUUUCGGUGGGGAAGAAAAGUCUCGACCUAAUACGUCGGGACCUUGACGUAACCACUAAAGAGCACCGGCUAACUCUGUGCCAGCCGCCGCCGU